AGUUUUGNNNNNGCUCAGGACGAACGCUGGCGGCGUGCCUAAUACAUGCAAGUCGAACGAACUCUGGUAUUGAUUGGUGCUUGCAUCAUGAUUUACAUUUGAGUGAGUGGCGAACUGGUGAGUAACACGUGGGAAACCUGCCCAGAAGCGGGGGAUAACACCUGGAAACAGAUGCUAAUACCGCAUAACAACUUGGACCGCAUGGUCCGAGUUUGAAAGAUGGCUUCGGCUAUCACUUUUGGAUGGUCCCGCGGCGUAUUAGCUAGAUGGUGGGGUAACGGCUCACCAUGGCAAUGAUACGUAGCCGACCUGAGAGGGUAAUCGGCCACAUUGGGACUGAGACACGGCCCAAACUCCUACGGGAGGCAGCAGUAGGGAAUCUUCCACAAUGGACGAAAGUCUGAUGGAGCAACGCCGCGUGAGUGAAGAAGGGUUUCGGCUCGUAAAACUCUGUUGUUAAAGAAGAACAUAUCUGAGAGUAACUGUUCAGGUAUUGACGGUAUUUAACCAGAAAGCCACGGCUAACUACGUGCCAGCAGCCGCGGUAAUACGUAGGUGGCAAGCGUUGUCCGGAUUUAUUGGGCGUAAAGCGAGCGCAGGCGGUUUUUUAAGUCUGAUGUGAAAGCCUUCGGCUCAACCGAAGAAGUGCAUCGGAAACUGGGAAACUUGAGUGCAGAAGAGGACAGUGGAACUCCAUGUGUAGCGGUGAAAUGCGUAGAUAUAUGGAAGAACACCAGUGGCGAAGGCGGCUGUCUGGUCUGUAACNGACGCUGANNCUCG
rnacentral:rRNA from 2 species